ensembl:lncRNA
CCAUGGAUAUGGUCAAGUGCUUCCCCAUUGACUAUAUGCAUCAAUCAUGCCUGGGGGUGAUGAAGAAGCUGCUGCUUAGUUGGACCAGUGGAGCGAGAGGAGUGAGGCUCUCCAGCACUCAAAAACUAGAAGUAAGCACUAGGCUUCUUCAACUCAGCAAUGAAAUACCAUCCAUCUUCUCUCGCACACCUCGAAGCCUGGUUGAGCUAGAGAGGUGGAAGGCUACAGAAUUUCGACAAUUCAUGCUGUACACGGGCAAGCUGGUGCUGAAAGGAAUCCUUGAGGAUGACCUCUAUCAACAUUUUCUGGCUUUCAGUGUGGCCAUGUGCUUACUAGUGUCACCAACACUAGUAAAGAGGCAUUCGGAGUACGCAAGAAACCUGCUGCACUACUUCGUCUGUAGAGGACGAGAGCUUUAUGGUGAGGAGUUUAUAGUAUACAACAUCCACUCUAUGCUCCACAUCACUGAUGACGCUGUGCAAUUUAACGGGCUUGACAGCUGCAGCGCAUUCAAAUUUGAAUCAUACCUGCAUACCAUGAAGAGGAUGGUGCGAAGUGGAAAACACCCUUUGAGACAGGUCGCCAAGAGGAUAGAGGAAAGGCAGCUAUCUCCUCUUGAAAUACACAGAGAGAAAAAAACUUCAAGUGCCAAGGACAAAGCCUUCUUGAUCAAUGAAAAUGGCUGUGAGAUCACAGAUGAAAUGGAAAAAGAUGGAAAAGUCCUUUGCAGGGUUUAUCAUAAUCCUCUACCAAUGUUCAUCGAGCCAUGCCACUCCUUUCUUGUGGGAGUAUACAAUUACAACAAAAAACAAACAUCAAUAAGAUGGAUCCCUAGAGAACAAGUGGAGAAGAGAGCAAUCAGAAUCAAUCAUGGGGACACAGUAACAUUCAUGGCCAUCUUUCAUCAACAGUGAAUUUCUGACAUUGAUAAUGUGAGAUUUACAUAUAGAUGUUUACAUACAUAUAUAUGAAGAGUUCAUUUGCAAAAACCGAUAAACACCACUUUCAAAAGAAAAGAGCUGAUUCCCAUGCAUUAUUCUCCACAUACAGCGCAAUCUGAACCCUAAACACGUUUUGUCAAAAAAGCUGGUAUUGUCCACUUUCAAGGCAUCACGUUUUUACUGCAGAAGCCGACAAGCGCCCUUGUUGUUUUUGAACAGAAGCCGAUAAGUCGAUUAUUUUUAGCGAUUCAGUGCGCUGUGUUCAGGUCAGGGUACAAGGCUACUUUCACUUUGAAAAG